rnacentral:rRNA from 1 species
GUGUACGGCCAUACCACCCGAAACACACCUGAUCUCCCCUGAUCUCAGAAGCCAAGCAGGGUCAGGCCUGGUUACUGCUUGGAUGAGAGGCAUUAUCAAUUGGUUAUUAUAAAUU